GAUGGGACGACGAGGAGCGGAGAUCAGAUUAAGCUACCUGUGGUCGACAAGGCAAGUCCGAGGAACCGGUCGCCGACGUAGCCAGGAAGCCAUAGUUCCAACAGCCUCUACACAAUUCCCCAACUCCAGAGCUGACGCCACCCCAAGGAAAGCAUGAAGAUGAAAGGCCAAGCCAAGCUGACUCCCAGCCAAGCAGUCAUUUCGCUGCCAGACAGAGAGGAAAAAAGCCACGCCACGGGUCUUGAGCUGGUCUCUGAUGAUCAAUAACACCUGCUGCCACGAAGUCAACACACUCCCUUUCACUUCGGUCGGGCAAGAGAGAUAAACACGGGCAAGACCGACUCCUCCCGCCGCAACGGACGUCGCUGAUGGCUUGCGCUGGAAGACGAGCUGUAUCACUGUGGGGAAGGACGCCCGUAUGCAAAUUGCAACAACGGGACCAAGGCUGGGAGCCAUGCAAAAUCCGGAACAACGUCGCCCUAAGGAGCAAGGCCAUGACAGGAAAAUGCCAGACCGGAGCAGAGCCGCGUACAGCCAAGAUUGCGCUGCUAAAACUAUGGAAAUACUGACGCCAGUUUAUGGACUGAUGUACACGUAUUGUCUGCAUUACUAGUAUUUGACUUUACAGACACAAAUACGUAUUGUCUAGUCUAUUAUGUGUAUCAAAGAAUAUACAAGUAAUGUAAUUGACUCAGACGACGACGGUCCAAAUCAAACCAUGUGCGGAUUUACGAAUGGUGGAAAUCCCAUACAGACGCACGUACGGUCUCAUUGAUGAGUUUUUAACUGCAUUGGGAGUAAUGGCAUGCAAAAAUACGUGUUUCACAUGGGCGCGUACAAAAUGAACGCACUUGAAAUAUGUUUAUUCUAUUUAUUCUUUGUUGCGCUCAUUUACGUUUUAUCUUGUAAAAAAUUUACAACAGCUAAACAUUCAGUCUUAUAUGACAAUUAGAACAUGCAUGAAGUUAGUACACACCGCAACGGGGACUGCACAACUCAGAACUGUGUGCCUCCGACCCAGACCGCAGCUACCGAACAUUGCCUGCUAAUUUCUUGAAGUAGAAAGAAACUUUCACCAAUCUAACGUUAGAGAUCAGUUGGGCUGGAUAAAAGGAAAAUUCUCAUCGCUAAAAAAACACCUCCGUGCAGCCGCUUACUUUUUUGGGCCGUAAUUUGGAGUAAUACAUCAACGGGACCUUACAAAUAUUAUGUAUGCAAGCUCAUGUUGCAUUUCAGUCCGUCACUUGCAACAAGCUAGAUACAACGCAAUGGUUGCUGUAUGUACCGGCAUGUAUUAGUCUAUAUUGUGCCAUGAUUAUUAUUCUCAGACGGUUUCCGGUAAUUCGUUAAAUUUGAUAAUGUGAACUGCAACAGACCGAGAUAAAGUACUAGUAACCAAUGUUGUGUGAUGUGAGCGGACAGCUGUGUAACUGUCUGUCAGGUAAGACAGAAUAUAAAGACGAGAGAUUUAUUUCUAAGGCAAUUCAGGAGAGCAACAGACCGAGUGACAUAGCAUUAUGACGUCGCAGUUAGUAUUCGUUCAAAGUCUCCCGUGCCCAGUGUACGGAAAUCCCUAUCUCUGUGUCAUUUCUUUAUCGUUAACGUGGUCGUCUUCAAAUCAGAAUCCAAAAGAAUUAGUUACAUGUCCAAGAAUACCAUUGUUUAUCAGAGGAAGAAAAUCGUUGUCAGAAACAUCGGUAAACAUUUAUUUUAAUUCUGAAUCAUUUACCAUAUCAAAUUCUACUUUGUUGAAUUCCAAAACCGCCCUGUCAAGGCAUAUCAUUACAUAUUGUAAGAAGCAAAACUUAAUAUACAAAAAUGAACAGCUA